rnacentral:rRNA from 1 species
UACGUAGGGUGCAAGCGUUGUCCGGAAUUAUUGGGCGUAAAGAGCUCGUAGGCGGCCUGUUGCGUCCGCUGUGAAAUCCCAGGGCUCAACCCUGGGCGUGCAGUGGAUACGGGCAGGCUGGAGGCAGGCAGGGGAGAACGGAAUUCCCGGUGUAGCGGUGAAAUGCGCAGAUAUCGGAAAGAACACCAACGGCGAAAGCACUCUGCUGGGCCGACACUGACACUGAGAGACGAAAGCUAGGGGAGCGAAUGGG